ACCUAUUUGGUAAUAACCUCAACCUUUCCUACGAAUGCAGGGAAAGCGCUAAUGCUCGAGGUCUGAGACACUAAUAGCUUGAUCUGGCUCUUAUUUGCACCGCUAUAAACAGGAACCAACGGCCUGGAGUCCACGCAGAAAGGAAAGAAACCAGAAAAUGGGGCUGACGCUUCCCCAAGCCCAGAGAAAGGAGCGGAUCUCCGUGGCAGCCGCGCGCAGAACCCGCUGCUCCAGGGCUGGCAGCCGAGGUUCAGCACAGUCCGGCCAAACGCGAUGCCUGUUUCAUCCGACACCGUGACAACGGCUUUUCUGGAGUGAUUUCUUCUCAAAGGUCAGAUGCUUUUGAAAAAUCUUUUCUUUCUGGCUUCUCAGCACUUUUUUUCCAUCAAGAGGUUCUUAGAGACAGAGCUGGAGUUGGCCGAAUCCUGUUGGUUCUCCAUGGCUUGCUGGGUGGCUCCUGAGAUCAGACUUUCCAGCUGGAGACAGGCUGGAAAGCAGCAUCCAGUUGGAGGACAAUGUUGCUGUAAGGCCAGGUUUCUAUAAAUUGGACAUUAAUAAGUUCAGGCUAGAAUUGAGCAGGUUCCUUAUCAGGCUCUGAGCCUUUAAUGUAUGUGAGAAACACGAAGGGUGGCGGUUGUUUCACCUUCAGAAGUUCAGAGGAGGGAUGUCUGCACCCCGGGCUCUGUCUGCGCAGACAACGGGCUCCGGCGCCUCCCCGGCCGAGCGCGGGGACAGAGACCCUGGAGACGCCAGUGUCUGCGAGGACAGAGCAGGAGCGGGAGCCCUCGGGUCCCCAGGCAAAGCCACAUCCACGCAUGGGAAGCAGCACAGGCUGUGUCAUGUCUGAGCACAUCGCCGAGUGUCCCUGGUGACACCCCAGCCCGCGACAGGCGACACGUGGGGAUAAAAGGCAGCAGGAUGGCCCAGGGCAGAACACAGCCCAGCAACGUGGAGCAGAAACAGCAAGGGCUCCAUUAGCUUCUUAAGGAGAAAAAGGAAGGGCCUGGAGCUGCAGGGACGAGGAACCCUCAUGCACGUGAGCUGGUGUCAGCUCAGACCCAUCUCCUCUUCCCAGCUGGAGAACUGGAACAAUCGCGGACACCUGGGAUGGGGAAUCGUUCUGCUCUGCCUCGCGGGGGUUGUGGGACACCAGCCCACGCUGCUGGCGGCCAGGGCCGGGACAAACACCGCCCGCCUUCCCAGCCCGCGGUGACCAGCCGCCCCCAGCAGUGCCACAUUGCACACAGGCGGGUGUCACCACGCCACCCCAUCCUGUGCAGAACGAGUUUACGGGCCUGACGCAAUCCCAGCGGGCGGCGGGUCCGCGGCAGCAUUCCUGGGCGCGCAGUCACGCCGCUGGACGGGCCGCCCGGCAUCGCGCCCGGCCACAGCCCCCCCGCUGCGGGGAAAGGGGCCGCGGGGCCGGGAAGGGGCGCCCGGCCCAGCUCUGCCGCGCUGCCCUCGCGUGGCACAGGUGGUGCUCGUGUUGCCCGAGAUGUGCGGCUGGCCCGGGGAGCGGGACGGGACACGGACCAGCUCACGUGCCGCGUCAACGCCCCUUCUGCAGCCAAGUACAGGACACCAGAAAACUCCCAUUUCCUUAAUUUAACAGGAGCCACAGGGAUUUUGAAGGAGUGGGAGGCAUUUUCUUGGUCCUCAUUUCAGAGCAUCACCAUGUGCAUAAUGAUCUGAAUUCGACCCCUAAUCCACCCCAGUUCAGGCAUAAUUCCCACAGAUGGUAUUGAAGCUGCAGCCCCAGAUACCACCAACGAGCUGAAUCCAUUGCAUCAGCUGUUCUCUUCAGCAUAGAUGUAACCGGUUUUGUUAACAACAGUGCGCUUGGUCCAUCUGCAGAGGGAUCACGGAGCCACCAGCAGGUCGGCUGGUGAGAGACGGAGCAACACGCAAAACACAAAUCACUGCCAGCUCACGGAGCCACCGCGGGAACUCGAGCUCCGCGCCCGGCAACCGCUUCAUUCUGCAUGACCACGGGGUCCCGGCGCUUUCAGCGAGUUUGGCUCCCACCGAGGUUUCAAAGAAGUGGCUGCAAUUCAUCAGGUGCAUUUUCAAAAACAUGAUGGGAGUUGCCAGGACCCAAGCCCUUUGGAAAACCUGGUCUCACCUUGAAAAACCAGCUCCCAUCUCUGGAAAAUCUGGUCCCCACAAAGCACGGAUCCCUUCUCCCCUUGCGCGGCGGAGCAGACUGUCUGCCCCCAUCUCCCCGCCGGAGUUAAACCCUCAAAGCUGAUCUGGAAACUUAAGUUCUGGGCUGCCAGAUAAGGAGUGUGAAAUGGCAGGGGAGCGAUGGGCCGGGCUGGGCACCGCAGCACCGCAGCACGGGUGACAGCUGCUGGUGGCAGCGCCUGCCGGUGACUCAGCGGCGGGUUCUCCCGUCCUCUCUCCGGGCUCUUCCAUCAGCUGCUCGCUGGUUCCUCACCCGGCAGGCUCUGAGUCACCCGCAGGAACCUGCAGAGAGCAGCUCUGGUCCACCUGACGCCCCAUCAUGCAGCCACCAGCUCUGCCCGUGGAAACUGACACUCAUGGAGGGGAAAAAUAGGAGAGGAAGGAGCCUGCAGUAUUUGAAAAGCAAUGAGAGGAGUUUCUAGCCUGAAAUAAUUCAAUGCACAGAUUACGAGGGGGAAGAACAUCCCUGGGAUGGACGGGCAGUUCACGGCAUUGCUGUGUAACGAACCGCUGAGGGUUUGAUGCUUGUGCGAGAUCCUGCAGAGUCUCCGAUCUCAGCGCUGCCAUCGCUGCUCUGGGGGGGUUUGCCCAGACCCUUCCUGUGACAGCUCCCGGCCACGCCGCCAAACGGGCACGGGGCAGGGACAAGGUCCCGUCAACCACAGGGAAAUGGGAGUGAUAUGUGUUUGCCACUCUCAUUUCAGAAGGAAGCAAAUCCAGUGAUGGAGGCAAACACUAGCCUAUAUUGGCAGAAGAAGCUAAAACAGCAUAGGAAAUGGAAACUGGUUUGUGUGAUGCUUUACAUCCCUCGCUAUGGAAAAAGCCCGCUGUGCAAGCCCGUGCACUGGAAAACCAUUGGGUCCCUGCAGUUUAUUGAACGUUUAAUAACCUCCUUCCUACUCGAGCUGGCAGCAAAACGUCUGCUGACUGAACCAAGACCAGAGCAGCGGAUCUGAACCGAGAUUAACGAACGUCUGUCCAGCAGGCGCCUUGUUGGGGCGAGAGGGACCGUGAGCUCCCGCAGCCCCCAGCGGCACAACCAAGGGCACCAGAAGAGCCUUUGGCGCUGGUCGCCACCCGCCCCGCACGGCGGGUGCUCCACGGGCACGGUCGCGCUCUCCGAGGCUCUGGGCUUUCACGCCGUCUCCCGCCCGGCGCUUGGGAAGCUGCACAAGGACCGAGGCGGGUUGCCGAGGCGGUGAGUCAGGCGCGCAGGCUGUGGGGGAGCGUGGCGGGGAGCACCAUCCGUGUUCCUCGUGCUGUGCUGGAGGGAGAGCGCGGCCGUCGCAGGAGGCGAUGGGUCAGCACUCUGGCAUCUCACAGAUUGUGUUCAGGAAUGUUUUAGGCCAACACAGUGACACAGAUCUCCAAGUACCUGACCUAUUUCCCCUUCGGUCCUUUGUCAGAAUCGCCCUAAGGACCAACAAAGAUGUUUAACCUGAAUAGCUUCAGCAAUACCCACACAACACCUGAUCUAAGUGGGUCGCACUGUGGAAUGGGUCUGUAUCGGGACCUUCCAGCCACAUGCCCCGGUGCCAACACAAAAUGGGACUCUGGCUCCCAAUGUCUGCUGUUGCAAUAAAUAAAUCUCCCCUGAGUAACCAGGAGGCAGCCAGAGAGGUGAGCUAACGCAGCAAAGCCCCGUCCUGCGGGGGCCGAGGGCCGGCGGCAGCUCCGUGCUCCCCUCGCCGCUGCUCCCAGGACACGCAGCUCCUGCAUGGGGACGGGAGGGCGAGACAGCGAGAGGGAAGCAGGUGUGUGAGAAGCUCAAAAUGCGGCAUUUUGCACUUUGCAGUGCUGAUCCUCCGCUGCGGGGAGCACGGACGCAGCGCCGAGCCGAGGGACCAGAGGAGGGCUGGCCGGGGGCUGAGCAGGGGCUCUUUGCCACGAAUGGGCACCGGGUCCUGUUGACACACACAUUCAGGGGUCCCAGGGGAAUCAUUUGAUGUGAGCCAGUGACCCUUGGAGAUCUGCUCGCUUCAGCAUGAUCUUCAACAAAGAACAAGGAACCCCUUAGACAAGCCUUGGACUUGGAAACCAGGAGCAGCGAUGGAGUAACUGGCUCUGGUGCUGCGUGCCAGAGGGGACCGGCAGCGGGUGCCGCUCCCAGAGCAACAGCCACUGCCCAUGGUGGGACCGGCGCCCGGCACGUGGUGCCACGGGCAGCAGCCCGGCCUCGCCGCACCAGGAAUCGCUAGAUCUGAGCAAAAGUGCCGCCCGCUGAACUGCAAGCAAUGCCAAGAGCUCCCGUCGAGCAAACUCAGCUGUCCGGGCUCCAUCCCCCAGCCAAACCCAGACUGAGCACUCGAUGGCGCUUCCAGGUCGCCAGGAUAACGCAGAAACCCGGCCCGCAGCAGCACAAGUCAGCACCCAAACCGGUGUGUCAGCACCAGGCAGCUCCGCGGUGCUGCCGGCGCGAACGCGGCUCCGGUGGCCCUGGCAGGGCCGGUGCUGCCGGCGGCGGGCAGAGCCGGGCCCGGCGUGCCCAGCGCGUUGUGCUGCCCGCGUGACGUGCGGCUGUGUCAGCACGAGCGUGUUGUGGCGUGAGGCGACAUUGCGAUGUCCUCCAUGACAUCGGCCGGGACGAGGCCCCCGAGCAGGCGUGCCCUAAGUCACAGGGAUUACAACACACCCCCCAGAACAACCCCCACGUGCCAGCAGCCGGGCAGCUCAGCUCAGACCCCAGCCCAGCAUCCUCCAACCGCAGAUAAUCACCCCCUGACCCAAAACGCACCUCGCGGUUCGCUCCCAGUUAACCCUUCCCAGCCACGCUCAGCAGCUUUGCUUCCUCCCUAAAAAUCUGGAGGGGCUCUCAGGCCAGGGGGUGCUGCUCAAGGGCAGUGCUGGAAAGCCGGGGUGAAAGGAGGUAAAUUCCCUCCAGCGACCGAGAGGCCUGUGAGGUUUAUCUUCCCGCGUCCUUAUGCACGUGGAAGCUGCACAACAGGUAGAAACCACCAAGGGGACACGGACACCUGUAGAGUCUCGGGGCCGCAGCGGAGGACUCAUAAUGGUGCGAUGCUGGGUAGAACUUCACAUCCAGGGACAGACGAAAGCCGCCCCUGCUGCAGAGACAGAGCGGAGGCUUCGGGACAUGAGCAACACAGGGUCAGCACGGGCUCCGGACCCGGCACCGAGCAGGGUCCGUCCCGGUGUGUGGAGCCCCCGCCCUGCCCAGGCGAUGCUGCCAGCACCGGAGCCGGGCUGCCUGCCCCUUGGUGAGGGUGCCCACAACUCCUGGGCCGGGACCCUCGUCGAGGAUACAGUACCCAUGGGAUUUGCCUGCUUUAUGGGCAAUUAUCGCCAUUAAAGUGCAGUACUCGCAGGGGAGCCACCUUGGUUUGGACUCUAGGCCUUCCAAGGAGAGCUCAGCAACAUCAAACCCAAACCCCGAGUGUUAAAGCAAAACCCAGAACAGAUUAACGGACAAAACCAGCACAAGAAUCCUUCCCCUAAACAGAACCCCAGCUGGGAAACGUCCUCCAGACCCCGCGAGCAGCUGAGGGAGGGCUGGAUCCCGCUCGUCAGCGAAGAUGCUCCCAGAGCAGCCGCCCCAGCACAGACACCAGGUCCCGGCAGCGCCCGGACCCACAGGCAGGGAAGGGUUAAGAGCCGGAUGGGUGCCCGUCAUCGCGCCCUGGCUGCGCCCCAAGUCGCGGCUGGGGCCUGGGCGCCUGCCGGGGCUGCGGGUGGAGCCCUCUAACCACAGGGCAGCCUCGCCUCAUUCCUGCCCAGCCCCAGCGCUGGCACCGGAGCGCUGCCUCCUGCCGGGCCCGGCCGCGCUGGCCGGGAAAUCUCCUUACGGAGGAGAAACGGGCUGCGGCGCCAGGAGCCGAGGGCUUGGCACUGGCGGGUGUUUUGCUGGAGAUGUUUAGGAGCGCGUUGAAAUUGCCAGCUUGCAUCUCCUCAGAUGUCUGAGCAAUAUCCUAGCACGGAAUUAGGCAGGUAAUAAGGGCUUGAAAGCAGGAACAACCACAGCUGGAUUAAGAUACAGGCACUCUGGGCCUUUGCUCAGCGCCCUGGCUCAUGGAGACUCGGGAUGACAUCAGUCUUCGCUUUCGCUUAGCACAAGCGUUUCUGGCACUGUUUGCAAAGAGAAGCUGGAAGGAGAACUGUGCACUUGCCCAAGUUCAAGGGCAGGGUCCAGCAGAGGGACAAGCAGCAGUUGGCAUUGCUGCAGCCAGGAAAGGCCCACGGGCACAGGCCCACGGCCCCGUGUUACCGAGGUGGCUAGGCUGGGACGGCACCGGCAGGGCUGCCACUGCCACGUGGACACGCUGCACCGGGGGGCUCUGGGACAAGCCCAGGAGGUCUCAGGGGUGCUUGAUGGUUUCCAUCAGCCCCAGGAAUGACCAGAGGGUGCAGGGCUGGACGCCCACCGCUGGCAUCCACCAGCCUCUGCCCUCACCUUCCAUCUGCUCGUUACCAGAGCCACAGGGCUGGCCCUGAACCUUCUGCCCUGGCAGAGCCUGGAGUGUCCAGCCCCACUGCAGCCAGGGAUGGUGCCACAAGUGCCAGAGCACAGCGGGCGAGGCUGACGGACCCGCGGCGCCCGGGGGCAGCUGGGGGCGCGGACACGUGCGGCACCGGGCGGGGGACGUUCAAGGUGCACAGACACGCUCAGCUCUGGUGCUCCCUGCGCUCACCAAGGCGGGGUUACCACACACACGCUGGGUUGGGGGUGGAACGUGUCACCCGCGUGCUGGAACAACAGGCGGUUUCCUUGGGGGUCCCUGUCGGUCAGACAGGGCCAAACGCCGAUGCUGGAAGGGUCCAGAGGAGGAGGGGGAUCAGCAGCCCAGGCCUGCAGGUCCCCCACUAGCUCCAGGUCCCUGUGCAAGCACAACAGAUGAAGGCUGGUUAUAAUUGACCCCAAUUGCUCAAAUAGCCGCAGCUGCGGAGGACUUGGUUAAAUAGCUGCCUCCGAAUCUGCUCUGCAGGGACCCAGGUGUCCUGGUCCCCAUGGCUGGGACACAAACCAGGAGCAGCUGUGUCUCCCAGGUCUCAGUGUGAGAGGUUCAGCAGCCCCAGACCAGGUUCCGGUUCCCCUGCACGGACACCAGAGCAGCUGCCGGCGCAAACCGCGCAGCCCGCCGGCCGGACCGCAUGGUGCCGCUGGCUGCGUGGGGCCCUGGCUGCGGGGAGACCCGCUCGGCUUCCUCCCUUCAGAAAAAGGUUAAAAACAGCUCAAACUUCACAAGUGCCAUUUCAGGGACCAUCUGGGCACCCGCAGGAGGCAAUGAGAUCUGCCUCGUUCCUGAGCAAUUGUAAAUUUGUGUUGAUCACGGGGUUUCAUGGCAAUUCUGGGGGAUUCCUGUCAUCAGAACAAUCAUGUAAAAAAUGACAAUAUCUUAUUUAUAUCAAGCUCUUCAAAGUUUUGACUGUAUGUAGAAGUGAGAAACUCCACUAAAUCUUUGCUUUAAAAAUAAAAGCUUCAGUCGGCACA